UGCCGUCAUCCCAAAAAUACUUAUUUGGAAGUUUGAUAAGUUUAUUCGGGAGGGGGUUCUGUACUCUAUGCAUAAACUACACUUCACAACUGCUAAACCGAAGUUCCGUCCUGCGCACAAUGAGAAGCAGUCCUUCUUCCGGAGCACCAUCUCCAUCACUGCUUUGGAUGCCUAUUCCGUGCCCAUUAUUCCGCAGAGAAGACAUAGAAUUGAACCUCCAAAACAUACAUCUUACAGAUGUGGUUGGUUUCUUAAAAGGAGUCACCAACAUCCAGGUGCUUCAAAGGUCCGGUGGGGAAUCAAGCCGAAUGCGCGAGAUCACAAUUGAAAAGCUCAGCCCACACACAACAACUCAGAUUACUCGCAGCCGGCCUAUACAAGGUAUCACCAUCAAUCACUCAAGACAACUUUAAAAGUUUUCAUCCUCCGGACGAAUACAAAUCAUACUGCCUCGCACUUUGAGUUACACAGUAUCGAGACGAGUUGGAUUUGUCUACCAAUGAUGUCACUAGCAUCGAUGUAUUUCAUUGAUGAACAGGAGGAGAAUUGCAUGCGGUUAAUCCCAAAAGUCUUCUUUGGGAAUUUGACAAGCUCAGCCGUGAAGGCAGCCUUAAUAUUAUUGAGAAUUUGCGUUUGACCAUUGCUAAACCCAAGAACAUGAGACUCGGAAGCACCGACCCUGAAAAUGUACAAUUUGCAGAAUUCCUAGUGGAGGUGGGACACAACCCAAAGGAAAACGUGGAAUUGCCAUCUUCCCUUCAUAGAUGCGUGGAUCUAAACCAUCUGAUAUCUGAAAUAUAUCCGGGAAUACGAGAACACAAAAUACCGUCCGCGCAGUAUCUGACGGAGAGAACCAUUCGGUCGACUAGAAAUGAGGACGUGGCAAAAGUAAACGAGAGGAUUUUACAGAUGUACCGGGGAAAGGAGUACACGUAUCUGGAGGCAGACAAGGUGGCAGAGACUAAAGUGAAGGGAGCGGUUGGUUUCUCUGGGUGUCCAACUGAAUCACUGAAUACGUUAAAUCAAUCCUUCCUGCCACCCUUUAAGUUGGAACUCAAAGUUGGUUGUCCAAUUAUGAUGCCAAGGAAUAUAGCUCCGAAAGAUGGCCCUUGUAACGGAACAAGAUUUUUUUUAUGAUGGGUUUGGAUGCAGAAUUUUAAAGGUGGCAUUUAUGGGUCCAUGGAAUUUGGUGGAAUUAUGUUUUUUUCGGCAUGUUUGGUUUCCAAAUCCCUGGAAUCACUUUCCAAUAGAAAUCAGUUUUCCAGCAAAUCCUCCAUAUGGAAUUCGAC